GACGAAGGUGGCGAGCGUUGUUCGGAAUUACUGGGCGUAAAGGGCGCGUAGGCGGCUUUUCAAGUCGGGCGUGAAAUCUCCGGGCUUAACCCGGAAGGGUCGUUCGAUACUGUUGAGCUAGAGUGUGGAAGAGGCAACUAGAAUUCCGUGUGUAGCGGUGAAAUGCGUAGAGAUCAGGAAGAACACCCGUGGCGCAAGCGGCCACCUGGCUGCCAACUGACGCUGAGGCACGAGAGCGUGGGGAGCGAACCGG
rnacentral:rRNA from 1 species